rnacentral:lncRNA from 1 species
AGAACUUACAAAAGAAACAUAAAAAAAUCAUAAAUUAAUCUUAAAGAAAUAUAUAUAGCAAAAGAAUCCUAAAAAAAUAUCAAAGAAAUAUUUAAUAAUACUAAAAAUAAAAAUUAAUUAAAUCCUAAUCAAGUCUUAAUAUAAUCUUCAAAAAAUCUUUAAAAAAUUCUAUCAAACUCUAAUUAAAUCUUAAACCAAUUCUAUUUUAAAAAAAUUAAAUUCUAAUUAAAUUCUAAACAAAUCCUAAACAAAUCUUAAAUAAAUCUUCACCAAAUUCUAAUCAAAUUCUAAUAAAAUCUUAGACCAAAUCCUAAUCAAAAUCCAAUCAAAUCCUAAAUCUUAUAUUCUAACCAAAUCCUAAUAAAAUCUUAAUCAAAACUUAAUCAAAUUUUAAUAAAAAAUUAAUAAAAUCUUAAUAAAAUCUUAAUCAAAUUCUAAUAAAAUUCUAAUUAAAUCUUAAAUCCUAA